CGAGUGAGCUGCUAUCAGGAAAUGGGGCAUGUGUUCCUCUCCUCUGAUCUGCUUGCUAAGUGCUAGGCCUGGCCUGACAGAUGUUACAAUGCCUCUGAGGAGGCACAGUGCUCUCACUCUGUAAUAAUGCUGAUUGAUUGCCACACUAUUACGGAUCCCAGCUCACCAGGAACCCAUGAGAAACUUCUCGUCGUACAACUACACCGACUUCUCAAAAAAGGUCUCAACACAGUGGGAUUUUUAAGGCUACACAACUUUGGACCUACGUGCAAGUUCAAGUAACAGCAAAACCCGUGGAACUUGUGUUCACAAACUGUUUAUUCUAGUGGGUUUUGUACUCUGUGACCAUCAUCCAGAAACAAAGAGAGAAGAGCACUCUGAAAAUUGGAGAUCUGAGGGUUUAAAAAGUGUACCAGUAGGUGUUAGUCUGCAAAAAUAUGCGUGGGAGAAAAGGACAGUGAAACUAAGCCACCUAUUAAUACUGUACUUUAAAGGGCAAUAGAUGCCUUUAUCAUUAAAAUAAACUGAGAAAUCUGCCUAAAAGUAAAGAAGGA
rnacentral:lncRNA from 1 species